rnacentral:rRNA from 1 species
CGCGGAAAAGCUUAUCUGGUCCGGACGCAGUGAGGAUUGACAGACAGUUUCAGGAGUGGUUCUUGGUAAACAAUUGAGAGAGUUGAAGUUCUUUCAUGAUCUUGUGAGAGGUGGUGCAUGGCCGUUCUUAGUUCGUGUAGUGAUAUGUCUGCCUAAUCGCGUCACGAUAACCUAUUGGUCGACAACCCAAUUAUCACAACUGCAGCAUAACUCCCCUUGGGUGGGCGAGGCUCUGUGUAGGAUAGACCUCUGAACAGUACGCAACGAACGCGAUCGUAAUCCCUUGUUGAGUGGCCAUCCUGUAAGCUGCUGGAUUAGGAACCCAGUGGUAUUAUCUCAGCCACAGAUUUUCUGGUUGUAAUGGGCCAGUUUUGAAACUCGGGGAACAUCUGUGACUUUCUUUCUUAACGCAGAGGAAGGUUAUGGCAAUAACAGG